rfam:Picea glauca, whole genome shotgun sequence.
ACAUGCCUACAACAUAGUGUUAAUGCAUCGGAUCCCAUUAGAACUCCACAUUUAAUCGCGCUCAGGCGAGAGUAGUACUGGGAUGGGUGAUUGCCUGGGAAGUCCUAGUAUUUUACAUGCU